UCUCCUUGUAAGGUCUGGUUUGGGUUUUGUUUCUUGUUCAUUUUUUUCAUGUCUUUGAUUUUGUAGUUUGAUUCAUGCUGUUUGUGUCAUGCUUCCCUUGCCCUCUUGUUGUCUUGCUAUUGGUUCCUCUUGUUCCUUGUGUCAUGUUCCAAUUGGUUGUCUUAGUUAUGUGUCUGUUUCCCAUUGGUUUGUUCUUGUCAUGUGACCUGUAUUGUUUUCUAUAAGUAGUCAUGUUUUUGCCAUUGUCUCUUGUCGUGUAUUAAUGUAAUGUUGUAAUCUGCUGUCGGUGAGUCUAGUCUGUUCAUGCCACGUCAAGUCUAUUCAUGCCACGUCAAGUUUGUUCAAGUCAAGUCUUUGUUCAUUGUUUGGAUUAUUGUUUGGAUUUUGGAUUACACCUUUGUAAAUAAACUGCAUUUGGGUUCAUCUACACUCGCCUUCAGUGGACUAAUCGUUACAGAAUACACAACCUCAACCAUGAACCCAGCAGUUUUUCGCCUUCUGAGCCUUCGUCAGGGUGACAGGCCUAUAGAGGAUUACGUGAGUGAUUUUUGUGGAUUGUGCCAUGUGGUGGAUUUCAAUGAUGUAGUGCUUAAGGACAUUUUUCGUAUGGGUUUAAAUGAACCCAUAAAUUCUCAGUUGCCUGGGGGAAAGAUUUGUUGGUCACUGGAGGAGUAUAUUGACCAUGCUCUUUUGCUGGCUGCUUCAUCAUUUACUGUGGGGAUUGCGGAUGAGGAACACUGCAAUCCUGCAGUAGCUACCAUGCCUGCCAAGCCAGAGUCUGCUCAUGUCAUGUCUGUGAUUCCAGGACCUGCUCACCACAUGCCAGGGUUUGCUCACGUCAUGCCCUUUACUCCUGGUCCUGCUCAUCACAUGCCAGGGUUUGUUCACGUCAUGCCUGCCAAGCCAGCGCCUUUUCACGUCACGUCUGCCAAGCCAGAGCCUACUGACAUCAUGCCCGUCUCACAAGAGAUUCUUCGUAAUAUGGCAGCCAUUCAAGAACUUCAUUGCGAGAUGGCCGCUACACAAGAGUCUCUUCGGAAAAUGGC
ensembl:lncRNA